rnacentral:rRNA from 1 species
AUUGAACGCUGGCGGAAUGCUUUACACAUGCAAGUCGAACGGCAGCACGGGGCAACCUGGUGGCGAGUGGCGAACGGGUGAGUAAUACAUCGGAACGUGCCCAAUCGUGGGGGAUAACGUAGCGAAAGUUACGCUAAUACCGCAUACGAUCUACGGAUGAAAGCGGGGGAUCGCAAGACCUCGCGCGAAUGGAGCGGCCGAUGUCAGAUUAGGUAGUUGGUGGGGUAAAGGCUCACCAAGCCGACGAUCUGUAGCUGGUCUGAGAGGACGACCAGCCACACUGGGACUGAGACACGGCCCAGACUCCUACGGGAGGCAGCAGUGGGAAUUUUGGGACAAUGGGCGCAAGCCUGAUCAGCCAUUCCGCGUGCAGGAUGAAGG